rnacentral:rRNA from 1 species
UACGUAGGGUGCAAGCGUUGUCCGGAAUUAUUGGGCGUAAAGAGCUCGUAGGCGGUCUGUCGCGUCGGCUGUGAAAACUCGGGGCUCAACCCCGAGCCUGCAGUCGAUACGGGCAGACUAGGGUGCGGUAGGGGAGACUGGAAUUCCUGGUGUAGCGGUGAAAUGCGCAGAUAUCAGGAGGAACACCGGUGGCGAAGGCGGGUCUCUGGGCCGUAACUGACGCUGAGGAGCGAAAGCGUGGGGAGCAAACAGG